GACGAACGCUGGCGGCGUGCUUAACACAUGCAAGUCGAACGGAAAGGCCCUGCUUUUGUGGGGUGCUCGAGUGGCGAACGGGUGAGUAACACGUGAGUAACCUGCCCUUGACUUUGGGAUAACUUCAGGAAACUGGGGCUAAUACCGGAUAGGAGCUCCUGCUGCAUGGUGGGGGUUGGAAAGUUUCGGCGGUUGGGGAUGGACUCGCGGCUUAUCAGCUUGUUGGUGGGGUAGUGGCUUACCAAGGCUUUGACGGGUAGCCGGCCUGAGAGGGUGACCGGCCACAUGGGGACUGAGAUACGGCCCAGACUCCUACGGGAGGCAGCAGGGGGGAAUAUUGCACAAUGGGCGGAAGCCUGAUGCAGCAACGCCGCGUGCGGGAUGACGGCCUUCGGGUUGUAAACCGCUUUCGCCUGAGACGAAGCGUGAGUGACGGUAAUGGGUAAAGAAGCACCGGCUAACUACGUG
rnacentral:rRNA from 1 species